CCCUAGAUCCAGCCAUGCCGCGUGCAGGAUGAAGGCCUUCGGGUUGUAAACUGCUUUUGUACGGAACGAAAAGACUCUGGUUAAUACCUGGGGUCCAUGACGGUACCGUAAGAAUAAGCACCGGCUAACUACGUGCCAGCAGCCGCGGUAAUACGUAGGGUGCAAGCGUUAAUCGGAAUUACUGGGCGUAAAGCGUGCGCAGGCGGUGAUGUAAGACAGAGGUGAAAUCCCCCGGGGCUCAACCGUGGGAACUGCCUUUUGUGACUGCAUCGCUGGAGUGCGGCAGAGGGGGAUGGAAUUCCGCGUGUAGCAGUGAAAUGCGUAGAUAUGCGGAGGAACACCGAUGGCGAAGGCAAUCCCCUGGGCCUGCACUGACGCUCAUGCACGAAAGCGUGGGGAGCAAACAGGAUUAGAUACCCUGGUAGUCCACGCCCUAAACGAUGUCAACUGGUUGUUGGGUUUUAAUUAACUCAGUAACGAAGCUAACGCGUGAAGUUGACCGCCUGGGGAGUACGGCCGCAAGGUUGAAACUCAAAG
rnacentral:rRNA from 1 species